GACGGAGGAUGCAAGCGUUAUCCGGAAUGAUUGGGCGUAAAGCGUCCGCAGGUGGCAGUUCAAGUCUGCUGUCAAAGACCGGGGCUUAACUUCGGAAAGGCAGUGGAAACUGAACAGCUAGAGUAUGGUAGGGGCAGAGGGAAUUCCUGGUGUAGCGGUGAAAUGCGUAGAGAUCAGGACGAACAUCGGUGGCGAAGGCGCUCUGCUGGACCAUAACUGACACUCAGGGACGAAAGCUAGGGGAGCGAAUGGG
rnacentral:rRNA from 1 species